AAUGGCCUUCAUUUGGCCUAGAGCUUCCUGGGCUCUGUCUGUCAGGCUCCUUCCCGAGUCGGAACCGUGCAGACCUCAAGCCCACCUUGCUGUGCCCUCAGUCCCAGGAAGCAUCUCUGAGCGACCAUCUGGAAAAUGGUGGCUGGUGCCUUGACCUUUAAGAGGGCUGAAACGAGGUCUGUCGCUUCCGGGGCCAGGGG